rnacentral:lncRNA from 1 species
CCCCUCCCACCCUUUGGUGGUUCUGGGGCCUGCAGAAUCCAAGAUCCGCUCACCCCGUGGUGCCCUCAGGGCUUUGUUGCAGGUGGGGAAACUGAGGCAGAUGCCCAGUCACCCAGAACUACCCUAGGUCCUCUGAGUGUGGCUGAGCCUCCCCCACCAUCUGUUAACCUUGGGCACUUGUCAACUUUUAGGUGCCUGACCCCUCCCCGAGCUCACAGCCUCCUGUUCUGAAUCGGGAGGCAGAGGAGGGGCAAAGGGGUCUCCUCCAAGACCUCAGUCUGGGUAAGGAGUGCACGUGUGCAUGGGCUGCAGGUGUGGGGGUGUGCCGCUGUGGAUGGGGUGCAGGUGUGGGGGUGUGCAGGUGUGUAUGGGGGUGAAGCUAUGGGGUAUAUGCAGGUGCGUAUGAAGGUGCAUGUAUGGGGGUGUGCAGAUGUGUAUGAGGUACAGGUAUUGGGUGUGUUAGUGUGUAUGGGGUGCAGGUGGGUGUGUGGGUGUGCGAGUGCAUGAUGUGUUUGGUGUGGGGUCGGGGUGGGGGUGGGGGUGUGCUGUGGUUUUUGUCUCCACCAAAAUUUAAGCGUCAUAACCGAAUGGCCAGUGUGAUGGUGUUAGGAGUGGUUAGGCCGUGAAGGGGAUGAAGGUCCUUGCAGACCAGGCCUCAGUCAGCAGAGACCUCUCACCCUCCCAGCGCCUCCACGUGAGAACACAGUGUCUGUCCCCUCCGUAGGAUGCAGCAGAAAGGUACCACCUUGGAAGCUGAGCGCCCCCCUCGCCAGACACCAGACCUGCUGGCUCCUGAAUCUUGGACUUCCAGCCUCCAGAAUGGGGAGAAAUAAGUUUCUGUUCUUUAAAAUUACUCCGUCUCAGGUGUCGGGACGUUAACUGCAGACCUUGGUGAAUAAAAGCCAGUUGUCCUGAGUUUGGCAAGAAAACCUUUGGAAGAGGCCUCACAAGCCACUCCAGGCUACAAGACGGGGCGUUUGUCCUGGGGGACCUGCCGUCACCCUUAGUGGUCCAGCAGCA